AGAUCUGAAAAUUCUUGAAACGAUAAGCUAUGGAAAUUUACUAAUCCAGUCGCGCCCUUACUUCAAAAUUUUCCACUAUAAGCAUCAAAUUCCUGAAAAUAUCUGAACGAUUUAGAAACUUAUGCAGUUUGCAAAGCUGAACUUGCCCUUUGUUAUCAUGAUAUGGUAGAUCUCCAGUAAACAAAUCGAUUAAUAUUUAUAUACAAACACUAUUAGAAGUUAAACAUUUUUUUGUAACAUUGCUUGUCUUUCUAGAGAUUUUUUUUAUGUGAACAUCUUGCUGAAGUUUUAAGAUUAAUGAUCAAAAUCAUAUUCAUGAUAAAGUUUGGCGUCUUAUUUAUCAACUACUCACACAGAUCUUGAUGCAAAGUGUUACAGGGAAAAGAAAGACUGAAAUCAAACAUCGCUUAAAAUAAUUGAAAAACUUACAGCGAUUUAAUUAGCUAAAAAUUGCCCUAAUGUCCAUUCAUUCUCCAAAAGUAUGUGAAACUUUAUUUAGACAGAUACAGAAAUUUUAAGCUGAACCUGUCCAUUAGUCUCAUGAUACAGUAAGAUUCCAGGAAAUUGCCAUUAAAAAUAUUUAUCCAAACACUUCUAUUAGAAGUUGAUCGCACUGUCAUAUUUGAUUUAUCUAAAAAAGUGUGCAUAUUUCUUAUUGCAGAGUGUUACGGGGGAAUAAAGAGAGCUUCUGACCUUAGCACCGUGUGCUCGGAUAUUCGACACAUUUCCUGCCUCCAGACUCAGUGAGUCAAUACGAGGAAGCUUUUUGGCUGAUGGCUUCCUUCCUUUGAGUGCAUCUAUGGAUUCUUCGUUAUCCGCUACUUCGGAUUUGAUGCUGGUAUCAAACUCUACAUCACCCAUGUCUGCAAGCUUACUGCUGCGUCUCUGGACAUUAUGGAUGAGAUAAUGUUGGUUAUGGAAGUGGACAAUGCAAUCAGGACUCUUUCAACUCCCUACUCUGCAGGGAAGGUGCAAUCUCCCUCUCAAGAUAAAUGUGGGGAAAAAAGAAAUCACAAAGGAAGCUCCUUGCUUGUACUCUGUGAAUCCGCGUCCAAAGAGAUGUCCGCGUAUGCGGAGAAGACGUCAGGCUCUCCUUUUCCAUGAGCAAAAGUCGUACACACAACCGUACAAAAGCUUCUUUCUUUUUCUUUAAAUUUUUUUUUCUUCUUAUUUUAGAGGACUUUUAUAUUUUAAAAAAAAAA